CCUACGGGAGGCUGCAGUGAGGAAUAUUGGUCAAUGGUCGGGAGACUGAACCAGCCAAGCCGCGUGAGGGAUGAAGGUACAGAGUAUCGUAAACCUCUUUUGUCAGGGAACAAAGGCGGGGACGUGUCCCCGGAUGAGUGUACCUGAAGAAAAAGCAUCGGCUAACUCCGUGCCAGCCGCCGCGGUAAUACGGAGGAUGCGAGCGUUAUCCGGAUUUAUUGGGUUUAAAGGGUGCGCAGGCGGUCUGUUAAGUCAGCGGUCAAAGCCCGGGGCUCAACCCCGGCCCGCCGUUGAAACUGGCAGUCUCGAGUUGGAGAGAAGUAUGCGGAAUGCGCGGUGUAGCGGUGAAAUGCAUAGAUAUCGCGCAGAACUCCGAUUGCGAAGGCAGCAUGCUGGCUCCACACUGACGCUGAGGCACGAAAGCGUGGGUAGCGAACAGGAUUAGAUACCCCUGUAGUC
rnacentral:rRNA from 1 species